AGCAGCCGCGGUAAUUCCAGCUCCAAUAGCGUAUAUUAAAGUUGUUGCAGUUAAAAAGCUCGUAGUUGAAUUUUGGGCUUGGCCGAUUGGUCCGUUCUUGAACGAGUACUGGUCGGUUGGGCCUCACCGCUUGAUGAUGCGUAAUGUCCUUUAUUGGGUGUUGCGAGUAGUCAAGACCUUUACCUUGAAAAAAUUAGAGUGUUUAAAGCAGGCUUAUGCCGGAAUACAUUAGCAUGGAAUAAUAGAAUAGGACAAUGAUUCUAUUUUGUUGGUUUCUAGGACCAUUGUAAUGAUUAAUAGGGAUAGUUGGGGGCAUUAGUAUUCAAUUGUCAGAGGUGAAAUUCUUGGAUUUAUUGAAGACUAACUACUGCGAAAGCAUUUGCCAAGGAUGUUUUCAUUAAUCAAGAACGAAAGUUAGGGGAUCGAAGACGAUCAGAUACCGUCGUAGUCUUAACCAUAAACUAUGCCGACUAGGGAUCGGGCGAAGUUGUUUCAAUGACUCGCUCGGCACCUUAUG
rnacentral:rRNA from 1 species